UUUAAUGAGAGUUUGAUCCUGGCUCAGGACGAACGCUGGCGGCGUGCCUAAUACAUGCAAGUAGAACGCUGAGGUUUGGUGUUUACACUAGACUGAUGAGUUGCGAACGGGUGAGUAACGCGUAGGUAACCUGCCUCAUAGCGGGGGAUAACUAUUGGAAACGAUAGCUAAUACCGCAUAAGAGUAAUUAACACAUGUUAGUUAUUUAAAAGGAGCAAUUGCUUCACUG
rnacentral:rRNA from 1 species